GACGAACCGUGCAAACGUUAUUCGGAUUCACUGGGCUUAAAGGGCGCGUAGGCGGGCCAUCAAGUCCGGGGUGAAAUACUUCGGCUCAACCGGAGAACAGCCUUGGAUACUGAUGGUCUCGAGGGAGAUAGGGGUGCGCGGAACUUCCGGUGGAGCGGUGAAAUGCGUAGAUAUCGGAAGGAACGCCGGUGGCGAAAGCGGCGCACUGGAUCUUUUCUGACGCUGAGGCGCGAAAGCUAGGGGAGCGAACGGG
rnacentral:rRNA from 2 species